rnacentral:sRNA from 1 species
UCGUCAAUUUGUUGUGGGCAAAUAAAGUGAAUGUGGCUGUCUAUGCCGCCAGCGGUGACGAUGAAGCCUUCGCAGCUGAUGACUUCAGUGCCUGGGCCGAUGAUGAUGUCUACGCCGUCUUGGGUAUCGGGGUUGCCUGCUUUGCCAAGCGCCACAACAAGACCGCCUUUUAAGCCUAUAUCGGUUUUUACGAUGCCCCAGUGAUCAAUCACCAAAGCAUUGGUCAUCACGGUAUCGACCGCACCCUCUUGGCGCGUGUGUUGGCUUUGGGCCAUGCCGUCUCGA